rnacentral:lncRNA from 1 species
UCUCUCUCUCUCUCUCUCUCUUUCUCUCUUGGAAAAAUAGGGGUCUGUUUGCAGCCUUCAUUUUCUAUUCACCAUGUUCUACUCUUUGCUGCUGCCCAUAGGAUCUUUUAAAGACGCAAAUCUACGUUUAGAUCGAAGACAUAAUUGAAAUAGGACUCCAAAACCCUUCAAACCAUUCGAUCAAGCCCCAGAUCAAAUUUUGGUCAUUGGAUAGCACCAAAUCUCUCC